rnacentral:tRNA from 2 species
GACGGGCCGUGUCGCCGGCACGGCGGCCCCUCGGCCGCGCCGCACACGGUGACGGGCCGCCGGUUCCUCCCGGCGGCCCGUCAC